rnacentral:rRNA from 1 species
UUCCGGUUGAUCCCGCCGGAGGCUACCGCUAUUGGAGUUCGAUUAAGCCAUGCGAGUCGCGAGUCUUAGGGACUCGGCGUACCGCUCAGUAACACGUGGGUAACCUGCCCUAUGCUGGGGGAUAACCUCGGGAAACUGAGAAUAAUACCCCAUAGUUCACCACGCCUGGAACGGUGGGUGGACCAAAGCUCCGGCGGCAUAGGAUGGGCCUGCGGCGUAUCAGGUUGUAGGGGGUGUAAUGUACCCUCUAGCCCUCUACGCGUACGGGUGUUGAGAGACAUCGCCCGGAGAUGGAUUCUGAGACACGAAUCCAGACCCUACGGGGUGCAGCAGGCGCGAAAACUUGGCAAUGCGAGAAAUCGUGACCAGGGAACUCCAAGUGCAUCGGGUAAGACCGAUGCUUUUCUUGACUCUUCAAAGGUCUUGGAAUAAGGGGUGGGUAAGGACGGUGCCAGCCGCCGCGGUAAUACCGGCGCCCCAAGUGGUAGUCGCUUUUAUUGGGCCUAAAACGUCCGUAGCCGGUCUGGUACAUUCGUGGGUAAAUCAACCAGCUCAACUGGUUGAAUUCUGCGAGCACGGCCAGACUUGGGACCGGGAGAGGUGUGGGGUACUCUCAGGGUAGGGGUAAAAUCCUGUCAUCCUGAGAGGACCACCUGUUGCGAAGGCGCCACACUAGAACGGAUCCGACGGUCAGGGACGAAGCCUAGGGGCACGAACCGGAUUAGAUACCCGGGUAGUCCUAGGUGUAAACGCUGUGGACUUGAUGUUGGGGGCGCUCCGAGCGCACUCAGUGUCGAAGCGAAGGUGAUAAGUCCACUGCCUGGGGAGUACGGUCGCAAGGCUGAAACUUAAAGGAAUUGGCGGGGGAGCACCGCAACCUGAGGAUUGUGCGGUUUAAUUGGAAUCAACGCCGGA